UACGUAGGGGGCAAGCGUUGUCCGGAUUUAUUGGGCGUAAAGCGCGCGCAGGCGGUCUGCCAAGUUCGGAGUGACAGUUUCCGGCUUAACCGGAAAAGGUCUUCGAAAACUGGUGGACUUGAGGACUUGAGGGGGAGACGGAAUUCCGGGUGUAGCGGUGGAAUGCGUAGAGAUCCGGAAGAACACCGGUGGCGAAGGCGGUCUGCUGGGCAGUAGCUGACGCUGAGGCGCGACAGCGUGGGGAGCAAACAGG
rnacentral:rRNA from 1 species